rnacentral:rRNA from 1 species
UAACGGUUCCCCAAGCGGCGAUGNGUACCCACCUGAGAGGUGAUUCGCCACACUGGGACUGGACCCCGCCCCANCUCCUACGGAGGCAGCAGUAGGAAUCUUCCGCAAUGACGAAAGUCUGACGGAGCAACGCCGCGUGAGUGAUGAAGGUUUUCGGAUCGUAAAGCUCUGUUGUUAGGGAAGAACAAGUGCAAGAGUAACUGCUUGCACCUUGACGGUACCUAACCAGAAAGCCACGGCUAACUACGUGCCAGCAGCCGCGGUAAUACGUAGGUGGCAAGCGUUGUCCGGAAUUAUUGGGCGUAAAGGGCUCGCAGGCGGUUUCUUAAGUCUGAUGUGAAAGCCCCCGGCUCAACCGGGGAGGGUCAUUGGAAACUGGGAAACUUGAGUGCAGAAGAGGAGAGUGGAAUUCCACGUGUAGCGGUGAAAUGCGUAGAGAUGUGGAGGAACACCAGUGGCGAAGGCGACUCUCUGGUCUGUAACUGACGCUGAGGAGCGAAAGCGUGGGGAGCGAACAGGAUUAGAUACCCUGGUAGUCCACGCCGUAAACGAUGAGUGCUAAGUGUUAGGGGGUUUCCGCCCCUUAGUGCUGCAGCUAACGCAUUAAGCACUCCGCCUGGGGAGUACGGUCGCAAGACUGAAACUCAAAGGAAUUGACGGGGGCCCGCACAAGCGGUGGAGCAUGUGGUUUAAUUCGAAGCAACGCGAAGAACCUUACCAGGUCUUGACAUCCUCUGACAACCCUAGAGAUAGGGCUUUCCCUUCGGGGACAGAGUGACAGGUGGUGCAUGGUUGUCGUCAGCUCGUGUCGUGAGAUGUUGGGUUAAGUCCCGCAACGAGCGCAACCCUUGAUCUUAGUUGCCAGCAUUCAGUUGGGCACUCUAAGGUGACUGCCGGUGACAAACCGGAGGAAGGUGGGGAUGACGUCAAAUCAUCAUGCCCCUUAUGACCUGGGCUACACACGUGCUACAAUGGACAGAACAAAGGGCUGCGAGACCGCAAGGUUUAGCCAAUCCCACAAAUCUGUUCUCAGUUCGGAUCGCAGUCUGCAACUCGACUGCGUGAAGCUGGAAUCGCUAGUAAUCGCGGAUCAGCAUGCCGCGGUGAAUACGUUCCCGGGCCUUGUACACACCGCCCGUCACACCACGAGAGUUUGCAACACCCGAAUGUGCGGUGAGGUAACCUUUAUGGAGCCAGCCGCNGAUUGAGU